UCGCCCCGCCCCCGCGUCACGGCGUCCCGCCGCUGCGCCCCCCGCAGUCGCGUCGGCGUCACGGGUUUUCUCCUCGUCCCCGCGGGCUCCGGUUUUGGUUGGUUUGAUCUCAGAGUUGGCUACAGCGGGACGUGGGGUCCUGGUCCGGGCGGGCCGGCCGGCAGGGCUGUGGUGAAUGAGGUGCAAGCGGUGCCGGGGCCCCGCAGACCAGCUCCCCCUCUAGGUUUAUAGAACACACGAUGGUGGACCAAAUAGUAUUCUGAUGGCUUCUCUAAGAAAGGUGAGCCAGUGGAGGGAUCCAGAGAACGGGGUGACGUGGCCAAAGCAAUGAGCUAGAAAAAUGAUCUUUGAAGUAGCACUCCGAAUGGAUGUGACAGAACUGAGGGGCAAUGCAGGAAGAGACCAGGUGAUGGUCAGAGAGGGAGGAUUCAGCAACAGCGAGAUCAGAGCUUGGUGAACACCAAGUCAAGUGAACAGGCCUUUUGAUGAGUGGGAGAGUUCAACCAAGGCUGCAGGAGCACUAACACGUGUAUGCCCAUUACAACGGACCAGUUCAGUGAACGGCGGGACUUUCCCUUCCCCCCAGGCCAGACAGAGACAUUCCCCUUGAGGCUUCAUUUUAUACAUCAAUACAAAUAAGUUAUGUAUUGCCCCUCAGGUGUAGUUAGCCCCCUGACAUGGGUUGUUACCACCCAUUACCUUGUACAUAUUUGUUUGAGCUACUAUCCAUCACACUUAAAACACUCUUUCCAUGAUUUCAUCUGUGAGGAAUGGAACCAUUUUAAUCAUGGCUUGUUUUAUUUGCUUGCCCAGAUUUCUACCUGCUAUACUGUUGGGCUGGCUUUUUCCACAAGGGUCACUGGGCCUUCUCAUUUCAUCUCCAGACAAUGGUCCUUUUCUGCAAAUUUUCUAUACAUUACCUGGUUGCCAACUGUGGCGGUUCAAUGACAAGACAGAACACAGCUUUAAGCAAGCAAACAGGUCUGCCCGUACUGUGAUAGAGUUUAGGGUUGCCCAAUGAAGUCCAAUGAUUGAGCGGCGUUGAGGAUCGACUUUCUGAUGUUGAUGCUGACCCCCAGUGAAGAAAGGAGAUUGAGUAACAUAGGAGUUGACGUGUAGGCUUCCUGGUGGGACCUAGUAGCAAGGAGCCAGUCAUUGAGGAUGGAAUUAUUGCUGCCAAUGUGACCAUGUGAAACUUGAGUUUGCUGAUGAAGCAAAUGAGGUGACGGAGGUAGAGAACUGGUUUCCAAUCACCUUUCUUCUAGGGUAUUAGAAAGGUUCCUGUCUUGGAGGUGCCAAAAACUAAUGAGGGUGCUGGGGCCUGAAUUGCUUCCUGGAAGCUGACGGAGCUUACAGGGCUAAGGAACAUAGGGUGGACCUUGAGUCCUUCAGGCCAUGAAGUCUUGUAUCCAAGAAAAGAGAGGAGCCUCCAAAGGGGAGGUCCUGGAUAGAUUGUUGAACCUCAUGAGGAAGGCCAUACGACUGGAGCCAAGAACACCACCUCAUAGUGACAGUGGAGGCCACUUUCCUGGCUGCCAAGUUGGCAGCAUUCAGAGCCACCUGUAGAGAAAUAUACGCCACAUUCUCACCCUUCUCCAAGAGGACAGCAAACUGCUUUGUUGAAUCUUCGGGCAAGGAGUUCCACAGAUUAAAAUCAUAUCUCCCCAGCAAAGUCUGUUGGUUGGAGAUACGUAGUUGAAGGCCACCUGUUGAAUAAACUUUCUUCAGAAAA